rnacentral:antisense_RNA from 1 species
AUCUGUUUUAGGACCUCUUCACCUUUUGCGCCGGUUUGUUUUAUAAAUUCGGCGUAGUAAGGUUUCAUAGCGUCUUUAAACGGUGUUAAAUCAGGAUGCGUAACGGUGACACCUUGU